rnacentral:lncRNA from 1 species
GUGUUUGUUACGCAUUCUGGUAAAUGCGCGUACUUUGUUGUUUAUCUCCAGUAAUGACAAUAACGAUUCUCCGUCUUAAACUUUAUUGUUUAUUUACGUAUUAGGGUACCUGAGGUUUGAUUAUAAAUGUUGCUUGACUUGUUUGGAGAAGUUUAUUGGUAACGUUUGGGAUUCAUUUUGUAUGCAUUUUGAAGGAGGGAAACCGGUGGAUUAUUGAAUGAAGCACGCCAGCUAAACUUAGUUUUUGGGGAUAUAAAGAAGGACUUUAUCGAACAAAACAACCAUUUGUGAUGUAGCUGGGACCUUUUGGAGUGCCAACAGAAGAUCUUCAAAGGACCGUAUUUUUAAACAAGUCAAAGGAUGUGCCAUGGAAGCUUGCUACCGCCCUUCCUACGCUGGUUUGUUCUUGGGACCUGAGCCCUAGGACCAUGCCUCAGGACUACCUGGCAUGAUGACUCCUUGCUGUCCCCAGUCCACCUGGCCGUGCUGCUGCUCCAGUUUCAACUGUUCUGCCUGCGGCUAUGGAACCCUGACCUGUUCACCGGACGUGCUUGUUGCACCCUCGACAACUACUAUGAUUAUUAUUAUUUGACCAUGCUGGUCAUUUAUGAACAUUUUAACAUCUUUACCAUGUUCUGUUAUAAUAUCCACCCGGCACAGUCAGAAGAGGACUGGCCACUCCUCAUAGCCUGGUUUCUUCCUAGGUUUUUGGCCUUUCUAGGGAGUUUUUCCUAGGGAGUUUUUCCUAGCCACCGUGCUUCUUUCACAUGCAUUGCCUGCUGUUUGGGGUUUUAGGCUGGGUUUCUGUACAGCACUUUGAGAUAUCAGCUGAUGUACGAAGGGCUAUAUAAAUACAUUUGAUUUGAUUUUGAUUUGAUUUGAACCAUUGCAGAAAUAUUGCACAGAAAAAGUAUUUUGUUGACACAGCUUCUGAAAUGGAGUAUCACAUCAAGCAUUUCAUUAACUGCAAAACCACUCAUGUCAUCUACAGAUUGGAAUGUCCACAGUGCAAGGUGUUCUACAUUGGACGGACAAAGAAACGCCUUCAAGACCGCUUAGUGGAACACAAGUACGCCAUACGGGUAGGC